rnacentral:rRNA from 1 species
GUGGGGAAUCUUCCGCAAUGGACGAAAGUCUGACGGAGCGACGCCGCGUGAGUGAAGAAGGCCUUCGGGUCGUAAAGCUCUGUCAUCAGGGACGAAUGGCCGGUGGAGUGGAAAGCCACCGGAUUGACGGUACCUGAGAAGGAAGCCACGGCUAACUACGUGCCAGCAGCCGCGGUAAUACGUAGGUGGCAAGCGUUGUCCGGAAUUAUUGGGCGUAAAGCGCGCGCAGGUGGGAUCUUAAGUCCAUUUUGAAAGUUCGGAGCUCAACUCCGUGAUGGGAUGGAAACUGGGAUUCUUGAGUACCGGAGAGGAAAGCGGAAUUCCCCGUGUAGCGGUGAAAUGCGUAGAUAUGGGGAGGAACACCAGUGGCGAAGGCGGCUUUCUGGACGGUGUCUGACACUGAGGCGCGAAAGCUAGGGGAGCGAACGGGAUUAGAAACCCCAGUAGUCC